GGGGGUAAAUUAAUAAAGUAAAAUUAAUAAAAUAAAUUUUUAAGUUAAAAUAAAUAAUGGGGGUUAAAGUAUUUUUAAUGGAAAAAAUUUAAAAUUUUAUAGGGAAGUAGUAUUGUAGAAGAAAUUUGAAAUAAAUUAAAAUUAAUUAUUAGGAAAGAAAAUUUAAUUUGUUGUAUCUUGUGUAUCAGAGUUUAUUAAAUGAUUUUUUUUUAAAAAAAAAUCUCGAAUUUAAAAGAAUUAAUUAAUUAUAAAAGUUAAUGUAACAUAAUUAUUUUAAAUAAUUAAUUAGAAAUGAAAUGUUAAUCGUUUUUAAAAAUAUCUAGUUAUUUUAGAAAAAAAUUUAAUUUUAAAUUUAAAUAAUUUUAUAAUUUAAUAUUAUAAUUAUAAAAAUUUAAAUUUAAUAUUUUAAGGGAUAAGCUUUAAAUUAAAAAUUUAUAAUAAAAAUAAUUAAAAAUUAAAAUUUUUAAAAUUUAUAUUGUUUAAAAAUUAUAAUUUAUUGUAAAAAAUUUUAAUAAAAAUAAAAUUUAAUAGUAUAAAAAUUUAAAUUUUUAUAAAAUAAUAAUUUUUAAUUAAAAAAAAAUUAGUAAUAAUGAUAAAAUUAGUAUAAAAUAAUAAAAAAAAAUUAAAUAUAAGUUAAAAUUAAUUAAAAGGAAUUCGGCAAAGAAAAUAUUCACUUGUUUAUCAAAAACAUGUCUUUUUGAUUAUAAUUUAAAGUCUAAUCUGCCCACUGAUAAAUAUUAAAGGGCUGCAGUAUAUUGACUGUACAAAGGUAGCAUAAUCAUUAGUUUUUUAAUUGAAAACUUGUAUGAAAGAUUUGAUGAAAUAUAAACUGUCUCUUAAUUAUUAUUAAAAAUUUAUUUUUUAGUUAAAAAGCUAAAAUAAUUUUAAAAGACGAGAAGACCCUAUAGAGUUUUAUAUUUUAUUUAUUAUAAAAAUUAUAUAAAAAUUAAAAUUAAUAUUAAAUAAAAUAUUGUAUUGGGGUGAUAGAAAAAUUAAAUUAACUUUUUUUAAAAUUUAACCAUUAAUAAAUGAAUAAAUGAUCCAUUAAUAAUGAUUAUAAGAAAAAAUUACCUUAGGGAUAACAGCGUAAUAUUUUUUUUUAGUUCGAAUAAAAAAAAAAGUUUGCGACCUCGAUGUUGGAUUAAGAUAAAAUUUAAAUGUAAAUGUUUAAAAUUUUGAUCUGUUCGAUCAUUAAAAUCUUACAUGAUCUGAGUUCAAACCGGUGUAAGCCAGGUUGGUUUCUAUCUUUAAAUAAAAGAAAUAUUUUAGUACGAAAGGAUCAAAUAUUUAAAAUAAUUUUAAUAAUAAUAGAAUAUUAUUAAUUUAAAAAUAAAAUUG
rnacentral:rRNA from 1 species